CGCGGAGUGGAGCAGUCCGGUAGCUCGUUGGGCUCAUAACCCAAAGGUCGCAGGUUCAAAUCCUGCCUCCGCAACCA
rnacentral:tRNA from 1 species